rnacentral:rRNA from 1 species
AGCGAACGCUGGCGACAGGCCUAACACAUGCAAGUCGAACGGAUCCUUCGGGAUUAGUGGCGGACGGGUGAGUAACACGUGGGAACGUGCCCUUUGGUUCGGAACAACUCAGGGAAACUCGAGCUAAUACCGGAUGUGCCCUUCGGGGGAAAGAUUUAUCGCCAUUGGAGCGGCCCGCGUCUGAUUAGCUAGUUGGUGAGGUAAAGGCUCACCAAGGCGACGAUCAGUAGCUGGUCUGAGAGGAUGAUCAGCCACAUUGGGACUGAGACACGGCCCAAACUCCUACGGGAGGCAGCAGUGGGGAAUCUUGCGCAAUGGGCGAAAGCCUGACGCAGCCAUGCCGCGUGAAUGAUGAAGGUCUUAGGAUUGUAAAAUUCUUUCACCGGGGACGAUAAUGACGGUACCCGGAGAAGAAGCCCCGGCUAACUUCGUGUCAGCCGCCGCCGUAA